GGCAACGCCGCCUCUUGGAGCUCAUCCGUAAACCGUGAUUGCAGGUAUUUGAAGUUAACCGAGGAGUCGGCUUCAGUUAUCUGAGUUUAGAGCUGAACAGAGACAGUUCUUAGAGAUUACGCAAAUGGACGUCAAACCAAAGCGCCUGCACAUGCAUCCGCAGCAGAGAAGUGGAAGACCUGCAGGAAAGAAUUGUUGAUAGCUGCUUAAUCAAAGCAACACUGGGUUUUCUGGUAAAGAGCAGAAAUGAUGGUUCCGUCGUCUCAGCCCUGAAGCAGAGAAGCAGCCCCAGACUGUCACACCACCACCACCAUGUUUGUCUGUUGAUAUAAUGUUCUUUUAUGAAAUGCUGUUUUAUGUUUUCUGCCCGAUGUAACGAGACAGAAAACUUCCAAAAACUUUUGACUUGUCAGAAUAUUUUCCCAAAAGUCUUUGGGAUUAUCAGAUGUUUUUUGGUAAAUGUGAGACGAGCCUUUGUUCUUUUUUGGCUUGAAACAUUUUUGUCCAUCUUCUUUCUUAUUGUUGAAUCAUCAACACUGAUCAUAACUGAGAUGAGUGAGGCCUGCAGUUCUUUAGAUGAAGCUCUGGGUUCUUUUGUGACCUCCUGGAUGAGUUGUGGAUAAUGGCUCUCAAUGUGGUUUCAAAACCUUGGAACUUAGAACUUUUCUUCUCAUCUGUUCUUGAGUUUCUUUAGAACGCGGCAUUCUGAAACCUUUUAGCCUACUUCCCUUUGCCACACAGGUUAUACUUUAAGUGAUUUCUUGAUUCAACAGGUCUGGCAGUAAUCAGACCUGGGUGUGGCUAGUAAAACUGAGCUGAGCUUUCCAAAAGCUUUAGUUAAUCACAGUUAAUGUAUGAUUUAACAAGAGGAGGCAAAUACUUUUCCACACAAGGCGGGGUAUGCGUGGACGGCUUUUUCCCCCUUAAUAAAUAAAAUCAUCAACUGCAUUUUGUGUGUAUUCAUGUUAUCGUUGUCUAAUAUUAACGUUUGUUUGAUGCAAAUUUGACACACAAACACAAAAAAAGAUAUCAGAAAGGGCCCAAAACAUAUGUUGUAUAUUUAUGUUUCAUGUCUUGGUAUCAUUCACCUAUUCAUUCAUUCUAAUGGAGCCUAUCUCAGCGUGUUAUCUGUGACAAUAUUUCCUUACAAAAGUUCCUUAAA